rnacentral:rRNA from 1 species
CCUACGGGGGGCUGCAGUGGGGAAUCUUGCGCAAUGGCCGAAAGGCUGACGCAGCGACGCCGCGUGGAGGAUGACGCCCUUCGGGGUGUAAACUCCUGUUGCCCGGGACGAACGACCUGUUUCGACAGGUGUGACGGUACCGGGUGAGGAAGCACCGGCUAACUCUGUGCCAGCAGCCGCGGUAAUACAGAGGGUGCGAGCGUUGUCCGGAAUCACUGGGCGUAAAGGGCGCGUAGGCGGCUGGGUAAGCGAAAGUCCGGGGCUCAACCCCGGAUCGGCCAUGCGAACUGUCCAGCUGGAGCACGGUAGAGGCACAUGGAAUUCCGGGUGUAGCGGUGGAAUGCGUAGAGAUCCGGAAGAACACCGGUGGCGAAGGCGGUGUGCUGGGCCGUAGCUGACGCUGAGGCGCGACAGCGUGGGGAGCAAACAGGAUUAGAUACCCUAGUAGUC